AUGCAGUCGAGCGGAUGUAUUGGAGCUUGCUCCAAUGAUUCAGCGGCGGACGGGUGAGUAAUGCCUAGGAAUCUGCCUGGUAGUGGGGGACAACGUUUCGAAAGGAACGCUAAUACCGCAUACGUCCUACGGGAGAAAGCAGGGGACCUUCGGGCCUUGCGCUAUCAGAUGAGCCUAGGUCGGAUUAGCUAGUUGGUGAGGUAAUGGCUCACCAAGGCUACGAUCCGUAACUGGUCUGAGAGGAUGAUCAGUCACACUGGAACUGAGACACGGUCCAGACUCCUACGGGAGGCAGCAGUGGGGAAUAUUGGACAAUGGGCGAAAGCCUGAUCCAGCCAUGCCGCGUGUGUGAAGAAGGUCUUCGGAUUGUAAAGCACUUUAAGUUGGGAGGAAGGGCAGUAAGCUAAUACCUUGCUGUUUUGACGUUACCGACAGAAUAAGCACCGGCUAACUUCGUGCCAGCAGCCGCGGUAAUACGAAGGGUGCAAGCGUUAAUCGGAAUUACUGGGCGUAAAGCGCGCGUAGGUGGUUCGUUAAGUUGGAUGUGAAAGCCCCGGGCUCAACCUGGGAACUGCAUCCAAAACUGGCGAGCUAGAGUAUGGCAGAGGGUGGUGGAAAUUUCCUGUGUAGCGGUGAAAUGCGUAGAUAUAGGAAGGAACACCAGUGGCGAAGGCGACCACCUGGGCUAAUACUGACACUGAGGUGCGAAAGCGUUGGGGAGCAAACAGGAUUAGAUACCCUGGUAGUCCACGGCGUAACGA
rnacentral:rRNA from 2 species